AUUGAACGCUGGCGGCAGGCCUAACACAUGCAAGUCGAACGGUAACAGGAAGCAGCUUGCUGCUUCGCUGACGAGUGGCGGACGGGUGAGUAAUGUCUGGGAAACUGCCUGAUGGAGGGGGAUAACUACUGGAAACGGUAGCUAAUACCGCAUAACGUCGCAAGACCAAAGAGGGGGACCUUAGGGCCUCUUGCCAUCGGAUGUGCCCAGAUGGGAUUAGCUAGUAGGUGGGGUAACGGCCCACCUAGGCGACGAUCCCUAGCUGGUCUGAGAGGAUGACCAGCCACACUGGAACUGAGACACGGUCCAGACUCCUACGGGAGGCAGCAGUGGGGAAUAUUGCACAAUGGGCGCAAGCCUGAUGCAGCCAUGCCGCGUGUAUGAAGAAGGCCUUCGGGUUGUAAAGUACUUUCAGCGGGGAGGAAGGGAGUAAAGUUAAUACCUUUGCUCAUUGACGUUACCCGCAGAAGAAGCACCGGCUAACUCCGUG
rnacentral:rRNA from 1 species